AUACAAACACACUGCAUUCACUAUACACACACUACACACACUGCAUUCACUAUACACACACUACACACACUGCAUUCACUAUAAACACACUGCGUUCGCUAUACACACUAAACACUGCAUUCACUUUAUACACACACACACACACACACUCUGCAUUCAUUAUAUACACACUACACAGUCACUGCAUUAACUAUACACACACACCCUGCAUUCAUUAUAUAUACACACUACACAAAUAUACACAGCUCCACUGUCUAAACACACUGCAUCCAGUGCAUGUGGCUUUUAUAUUUUG